UGGGGAAUAUUGCACAAUGGGCGAAAGCCUGAUGCAGCGACGCCGCGUGAAGGAUGAAGUAUUUCGGUAUGUAAACUUCUAUCAGCAGGGAAGAAAAUGACGGUACCCGACUAAGAAGCCCCGGCUAACUACGUGCC
rnacentral:rRNA from 1 species